rnacentral:rRNA from 1 species
UGGGUAACCUGCCUCAAAGAGGGGAAUAGCCUCCCGAAAGGGAGAUUAAUACCGCAUAAUAUGUUUAAGUCGCAUGACUUUAACAUCAAAGGAUUUUCUUUUAGAAAUUCCACUUUGAGAUGGACCCGCGGCGCAUUAGCUAGUUGGUGAGGUAACGGCUCACCAAGGCACGG